rnacentral:rRNA from 1 species
AGAUUAAGUUAUUAAGGGCGCACGGUGGAUGCCUUGGCACUAGAAGCCGAUGAAGGACGUUACUAACGACGAUAUGCUUUGGGGAGCUGUAAGUAAGCUUUGAUCCAGAGAUUUCCGAAUGGGGAAACCCAGCAUGAGUUAUGUCAUGUUAUCGAUAUGUGAAUACAUAGCAUAUCAGAAGGCACACCCGGAGAACUGAAACAUCUUAGUACCCGGAGGAAGAGAAAGAAAAUUCGAUUCCCUUAGUAGCGGCGAGCGAAACGGGAAGAGCCCAAACCAACAAGCUUGCUUGUUGGGGUUGUAGGACACUCUAUACGGAGUUACAAAGGACGACAUUAGACGAAUCAUCUGGAAAGAUGAAUCAAAGAAGGUAAUAAUCCUGUAGUCGAAAAUGUUGUCUCUCUUGAGUGGAUCCUGAGUACGACGGAGCACGUGAAAUUCCGUCGGAAUCUGGGAGGACCAUCUCCUAAGGCUAAAUACUCUCUAGUGACCGAUAGUGAACCAGUACCGUGAGGGAAAGGUGAAAAGCACCCCGGAAGGGGAGUGAAAUAGAACCUGAAACCGUGUGCUUACAAGUAGUCAGAGCCCGUUAAUGGGUGAUGGCGUGCCUUUUGUAGAAUGAACCGGCGAGUUACGAUUUGAUGCAAGGUUAAGCAGUAAAUGUGGAGCCGUAGCGAAAGCGAGUCUGAAUAGGGCGUUUAGUAUUUGGUCGUAGACCCGAAACCAGGUGAUCUACCCUUGGUCAGGUUGAAGUUCAGGUAACACUGAAUGGAGGACCGAACCGACUUACGUUGAAAAGUGAGCGGAUGAACUGAGGGUAGCGGAGAAAUUCCAAUCGAACCUGGAGAUAGCUGGUUCUCUCCGAAAUAGCUUUAGGGCUAGCCUCAAGUGAUGAUUAUUGGAGGUAGAGCACUGUUUGGACGAGGGGCCCCUCUCGGGUUACCGAAUUCAGACAAACUCCGAAUGCCAAUUAAUUUAACUUGGGAGUCAGAACAUGGGUGAUAAGGUCCGUGUUCGAAAGGGAAACAGCCCAGACCACCAGCUAAGGUCCCAAAAUAUAUGUUAAGUGGAAAAGGAUGUGGCGUUGCCCAGACAACUAGGAUGUUGGCUUAGAAGCAGCCAUCAUUUAAAGAGUGCGUAAUAGCUCACUAGUCGAGUGACACUGCGCCGAAAAUGUACCGGGGCUAAACAUAUUACCGAAGCUGUGGAUUGUCCUUUGGACAAUGGUAGGAGAGCGUUCUAAGGGCGUUGAAGCAUGAUCGUAAGGACAUGUGGAGCGCUUAGAAGUGAGAAUGCCGGUGUGAGUAGCGAAAGACGGGUGAGAAUCCCGUCCACCGAUUGACUAAGGUUUCCAGAGGAAGGCUCGUCCGCUCUGGGUUAGUCGGGUCCUAAGCUGAGGCCGACAGGCGUAGGCGAUGGAUAACAGGUUGAUAUUCCUGUACCACCUAUAAUCGUUUUAAUCGAUGGGGGGACGCAGUAGGAUAGGCGAAGCGUGCGAUUGGAUUGCACGUCUAAGCAGUAAGGCUGAGUAUUAGGCAAAUCCGGUACUCGUUAAGGCUGAGCUGUGAUGGGGAGAAGACAUUGUGUCUUCGAGUCGUUGAUUUCACACUGCCGAGAAAAGCCUCUAGAUAGAAAAUAGGUGCCCGUACCGCAAACCGACACAGGUAGUCAAGAUGAGAAUUCUAAGGUGAGCGAGCGAACUCUCGUUAAGGAACUCGGCAAAAUGACCCCGUAACUUCGGGAGAAGGGGUGCUCUUUAGGGUUAACGCCCAGAAGAGCCGCAGUGAAUAGGCCCAAGCGACUGUUUAUCAAAAACACAGGUCUCUGCUAAACCGUAAGGUGAUGUAUAGGGGCUGACGCCUGCCCGGUGCUGGAAGGUUAAGAGGAGUGGUUAGCUUCUGCGAAGCUACGAAUCGAAGCCCCAGUAAACGGCGGCCGUAACUAUAACGGUCCUAAGGUAGCGAAAUUCCUUGUCGGGUAAGUUCCGACCCGCACGAAAGGCGUAACGAUUUGGGCACUGUCUCAACGAGAGACUCGGUGAAAUCAUAGUACCUGUGAAGAUGCAGGUUACCCGCGACAGGACGGAAAGACCCCGUGGAGCUUUACUGUAGCCUGAUAUUGAAAUUCGGCACAGCUUGUACAGGAUAGGUAGGAGCCUUUGAAACGUGAGCGCUAGCUUACGUGGAGGCGCUGGUGGGAUACUACCCUAGCUGUGUUGGCUUUCUAACCCGCACCACUUAUCGUGGUGGGAGACAGUGUCAGGCGGGCAGUUUGACUGGGGCGGUCGCCUCCUAAAAGGUAACGGAGGCGCUCAAAGGUUCCCUCAGAAUGGUUGGAAAUCAUUCAUAGAGUGUAAAGGCAUAAGGGAGCUUGACUGCGAGACCUACAAGUCGAGCAGGGUCGAAAGACGGACUUAGUGAUCCGGUGGUUCCGCAUGGAAGGGCCAUCGCUCAACGGAUAAAAGCUACCCCGGGGAUAACAGGCUUAUCUCCCCCAAGAGUUCACAUCGACGGGGAGGUUUGGCACCUCGAUGUCGGCUCAUCGCAUCCUGGGGCUGUAGUCGGUCCCAAGGGUUGGGCUGUUCGCCCAUUAAAGCGGUACGCGAGCUGGGUUCAGAACGUCGUGAGACAGUUCGGUCCCUAUCCGUCGUGGGCGUAGGAAAUUUGAGAGGAGCUGUCCUUAGUACGAGAGGACCGGGAUGGACAUACCUCUGGUGUACCAGUUGUCGUGCCAACGGCAUAGCUGGGUAGCUAUGUGUGGACGGGAUAAGUGCUGAAAGCAUCUAAGCAUGAAGCCCCCCUCAAGAUGAGAUUUCCCAACUUCGGUUAUAAGAUCCCUCAAAGAUGAUGAGGUUAAUAGGUUCGAGGUGGAAGCAUGGUGACAUGUGGAGCUGGCGAAUACUAAUCGAUCGAAGACUUAAUCAAAUU